AAUUGUCUGGAUUCAAGAUCUAGUUAAUUACUCUAGAUCUAGCAUUAAACAUAAUUAAAGAUGAAGAAUUCUACAGAUAACCUAGCAAAGGGGGCAAUUUACUAAACCAUAUGAAUCCCUAAUGAGAAACCCUAUUCCUAACAAGCAGACUACUCAGACAUAUUGAAUGAAACAAACAACAUAAUUGAGAUAGAAAGCAUAAACACAACAAUAGAGAUAAGAGUUAGAAAAGAUCUCUUCACUGUAUUAAAAACUGGAAUGAGUCUCUCAAGAACAAUGGAUGAAUAGCUUAUGUCUCUCAGUCACAGGGUUUUGCAAAAGCUUGAUAAAAGACUUGAUAAAAGAAACAUAGGUCUA
rnacentral:sRNA from 1 species